AUGGGGCUCUGUGGGUCCCUAUGGGGCUCAAUGGGACCCCCACGUGGCUCUGCGGGGCCCCCCCCGCUCUGUGGGGCAUCUGUGGGUCGCGCUGUGGGUCACGUCGGGGUCCUCCCGUGGGUCACAUCGGGGUCCUCCCGUGGGUCGCCCCCCAGAUCUGGCCGAGGCCCGCGCGUCGCAAAACGCCGAGAGACGGGAGUGGCACCGCCGGAACCACCUGACCCUGGCGGCCAAGGGGCCGCUCCGGCAGACGUUCUCGCAGAACCCGUUGGCGCCGCCCGCUGCUCCCGCGACGCCCGCGGCGCCGAAGCGGCCGUGGAAGGAAACGUUGGGGUGAAAAGAACGGCAGUAAAAGCUCGAGACUCGAAAUCCGCUUUUUUUUCUUUUUUUUUUCCCCUUUCAUUUCGGGCGUUUCCGGUCCGCGGGCGGCAAAAUGGCGGCGUCCCAACGGGCGCUUCCGGUGAGGGGCUGUCAACAUGGCGGCGUCCAGGCUGGCGCUUCCGGUGCUGGUCUGUCGAAGCGGUGGCGUGGCAAUUGAGCUUCCGGUCGCAUGGCGGCGUCAUCUAAUUAAAAAUCCUAUGUACGGGGGAGGAGGGGCUAAUAUGGCCGCCCCCACGUCUGUGGUUCAGAUGGCGGAGAUGUCAGCGUGAGACGGCCACUUGGAGGACGCCAUAUUGCGGCCGCCAUGUUGAAUCGACGCCACUUCCGCCUUGAAUCGGAAAUACCGCGCUCUGAUUGGCUACCGCCUGCGUUGAAACGGAAAAGGGGAGUGCUCAGCAAUACGCAUGCGCGGCCCCGCCCCUUCUCUCAAGGCAUUGGCUGCGCCGAGCGGAAAGGGCGGGGCCUCGGGGAAAGCGCGCGGAGAGAGCGAGUUUGGGGCGAAAAAGGGCGAAAUUGGGGCCGGGUGCUGAAGCUGGGGGCCCUGCAGCGGAUCUGGGAGGAAAAAAGGGAAUUCUUGGCAUAAAAAGGGAACUUUGAAGCGGAAAAAGGGGAAUUUUGGGGGUAAAAAGGGGAAAAUUUGGGGGAAAUAGGGGAAAAUUGCGGGGGGAAAAGGGGAAUUUUGUGGGGGUCCAAGGGCGCCAUCUUGGGACCGGAAGUGCCGCCAUGGAAGCGGAAGUGGAGCUGCUGGGUGAGUCGCUAAUGAGAGGUUGUUAAUUGGGGCUUAAUUAGCUCCGGACAGGCCUUGAUUUGGGGUUAAUGAAGGGUUAAUUGGGGGGAUCGCCGCUUCAUGAGGUCUGUUAGGGGGUUCAUUAGGGAUUAAUUGGGUUAAUUAGUUAACUGGAUGGUUGGUGAUGGGGUUAAUUAAUGCUUAAUUAAGGGAAGUACUAAUGAUGGAGUCGAUUUAGGGGUUAAUUAUUGGGAUUAAUUUGAGAGAUGGGUUAAUUAAGGAGCUCACUCACUCUGGUGCUAAUAAUGGGGUUAAUUAGGCGGCGUUCUCUAAUUAUGACUUGAAUCGUUAGUUAAUUAAGUUUGAAUUU
rnacentral:lncRNA from 1 species